UGCACAUACUCAUCACAAAAUAAGAGUCUACAGAUAGAUAGAAAAAGAGAGGGAGAGUAAAGCUGAAGCGUAGAGAAGGUCUUAACCUCAGCUUGACAUGUGGCACUCUCUGCUUUGAGCUUUUGUCCACAUGGCUAAUCCGUUGUUUUUGUGAAAAAUCACAAGACUAACGUGGUUAACCUAAGCCUCCUUGACUCCUUGUUCUUUUAACACGUAUUGCAUUAGAUGCAUCAGAGUAAUCUUUUAUACCUUUUCUAUGCACAUACAUUCUGGGAGCACUUGU
rnacentral:misc_RNA from 1 species